AUUGAACGCUGGCGGCAGGCCUAACACAUGCAAGUCGAACGAGUGGCGGACGGGUGAGUAAUGUCUGGGAAACUGCCUGAUGGAGGGGGAUAACUACUGUAAACGGUAGCUAAUACCGCAUCCCAUCAGAUGUGCCCAGAUCGGAUUAGCCUGUUGGUUGGGUAACGGCUCAACAAGGCGACGAUCCCUAGCUGGUCUGAGAGGAUGACCAGCCACACUGGAACUGAGCCACGGUCGAGACUCCUACGGGAGGCAGCAGUGGGGAAUAUUGCACAAGGGGCGAAAGCCUGAUGCAGCCAUGCCGCGUGUAUGAAGAAGGCCUGAGGGUUGUAAAGUACUUUCAGCGGGGAUGCGUUACCCGCAGAAGAAGCACCGGCUAACUCCGUGCCAGCAGCCGCGGUAAUAC
rnacentral:rRNA from 1 species